UAAUAUCAACCCCGUCGGUUUGUUAAUCAGACCGUUGGGUGUUGGACUUGGAGGUUCUUGCUGGCUGCAAAGUCGGCUCCUCUUGAAUGCAUUAGCUUGGGCCUGUUGUGCGUGCUCGCGGUGUAAUAAGUUUUAUUCAUCGUUUUGGGUCGUACACCUAUUGGGCUUGCUUCUAACUGUCUUUGGACAAACAUUAACCUUUGA
rnacentral:misc_RNA from 1 species